rnacentral:tRNA from 1 species
UUAAAUGAAGCCAAAGGGAGGCUUAUCAUUGUUAAUGAUAUCAUUGAUUAAGAAAUCCAUUUAGA